GCCGGAAUAGCUCAGUUGGUAGAGCAGAGGACUGAAAAUCCUCGUGUCACCAGU
rnacentral:tRNA from 47 species